AUACCAUGAUGAGGGCACUUCCUUAACAUCUCUUUGAAUCUCUCCCAUGCAUCAUACAACGAUUCCUUUUCAGUCUGGUAGAAAUUAUGAAUUUCCUCUCUUAACUU